UCCCUGGUGGCCUAGUUGUUAAGGACUUAGCAUUGUCACUGGCUGUGGUGCAGGUUCAAUCCCUGUCCUGGGAA
rnacentral:tRNA from 1 species